CAGAACCGCAGUGAGGGAACAUUCCAAGCCAGGGAAACAGUGUGUACAGAGAAAGAAGACAGGAAACAGCAGUGACUACAGGAACCUGCAAUGACUGACACAAGACAGAACCCAGAGUGACCCUGACUGAGCUCUGAGUGACCCUGGCUGCUAGUCAAGACAUAUCUCUCACACAAUUUACAUCAUAAAUGUUCUGUGGAUCAGAUCAUCAGGCCUGCACACAAGUGCUGUUGCCCACUGAGUUGUCUCAUCGGCCCAAAUAAAGACAGUUUAAAAAAUAAAAUUAAGUAUCAAAAGGCA